AACGAACGCUGGCGGCAUGCCUAACACAUGCAAGUCGAACGAGACCUUCGGGUCUAGUGGCGCACGGGUGCGUAACGCGUGGGAAUCUGCCCUUGGGUUCGGAACAACACUUGGAAACUACUGCUAAUACCGGAUGAUGACUUCGGACCAAAGAUUUAUCGCCCAGGGAUGAGCCCGCGUACGAUUAGGUAGUUGGUGGGGUAAAGGCCUACCAAGCCGACGAUCCUUAGCUGGUCUGAGAGGAUGAUCAGCCACACUGGGACUGAGACACGGCCCAGACUCCUACGGGAGGCAGCAGUGGGGAAUAUUGGACAAUGGGCGAAAGCCUGAUCCAGCAAUGCCGCGUGAGUGAUGAAGGCCUUAGGGUCGUAAAGCUCUUUUACCAGGGAUGAUAAUGACAGUACCUGGAGAAUAAGCUCCGGCUAACUCCGUGCCAGCAGCCGCGGUAAUACGGAGGGAGCUAGCGUUGUUCGGAAUUACUGGGCGUAAAGCGUACGUAGGCGGUUAUUCAAGUCAGAGGUGAAAGCCCGGCGCUCAACCCCGGAACGGCCGUUGAAACUACGUAGCUAGAAUCUUGGAGAGGUCAGUGGAAAUUCCGAGUGUAGAGGUGAAAUUCGUAGAUAUUUCGGAAGAACACCAGUGGCGAAGGCGACUGACUGUGUCAAGUAUUGACUCUGACGUACGAAAGCCUGGGGAGCAACAGAAUAAAUACCCUGGUAGUCUACCCCGUAACGAUGAUAACUAUCUGUCCGGGCACUUGCUGCCUGGGUGGCGCAGCUAACGCAUUAAGUUAUCCGUCUGGGGGAGUACGGUCGCAGAUUAAA
rnacentral:rRNA from 1 species